rnacentral:rRNA from 1 species
UGGGGAAUAUUGCACAAUGGGCGCAAGCCUGAUGCAGCCAUGCCGCGUGUGUGAAGAAGGCCUUCGGGUUGUAAAGCACUUUCAGCGGGGAGGAAGGCGAUAAGGUUAAUAACCUUGUCGAUUGACGUUACCCGCAGAAGAAGCACCGGCUAACUCUGUGCCAGCAGCCGCGGUAAUACGGAGGGUGCAAGCGUUAAUCGGAAUUACUGGGCGUAAAGCGCACGCAGGCGGUCUGUCAAGUCGGAUGUGAAAUCCCCGGGCUCAACCUGGGAACUGCAUUCGAAACUGGCAGGCUAGAGUCUUGUAGAGGGGGGUAGAAUUCCAGGUGUAGCGGUGAAAUGCGUAGAGAUCUGGAGGAAUACCGGUGGCGAAGGCGGCCCCCUGGACAAAGACUGACGCUCAGGUGCGAAAGCGUGGGGAGCAAACAGG